CAGCCGCCACGGUAAUACAGAGGGUGCGAGCGUUAAUCGGAUUUACUGGGCGUAAAGCGUGCGUAGGCGGUUAAUUGAGUCGGAUGUGAAAUCCCCGAGCUUAACUUGGGAAUUGCAUUCGAUACUGGUUAGCUAGAGUGUGGGAGAGGAUGGUAGAAUUCCAGGUGUAGCGGUGAAAUGCGUAGAGAUCUGGAGGAAUACCGAUGGCGAAGGCAGCCAUCUGGCCUAACACUGACGCUGAGGUACGAAAGCAUGGGGAGCAAACAGGAUUAGAUACCCCUGUAGUCCCUGUCUCUUAUAC
rnacentral:rRNA from 1 species